GAUGAACGCUGGCGGCGUGCCUAAUACAUGCAAGUCGAACGGUAAGGCCCUUCGGGGUACACGAGUGGCGAACGGGUGAGUAACACGUGGGUGAUCUGCCCUGCACUUCGGGAUAAGCCUGGGAAACUGGGUCUAAUACCGGAUAGGACCACUGCCUGCAUGGGUGGUGGUGGAAAGCUUUUGCGGUGUGGGAUGGGCCCGCGGCCUAUCAGCUUGUUGGUGGGGUGAUGGCCUACCAAGGCGACGACGGGUAGCCGGCCUGAGAGGGUGACCGGCCACACUGGUGCUGGGAUACGGCCCAGACUCCUACGGGAGGCAGCAGUGGGGAAUAUUGCACAAUGGGCGCAAGCCUGAUGCAGCGACGCCGCGUGAGGGAUGACGGCCUUCGGGUUGUAAACCUCUUUUAGUAGGGAAGAAGCGAAAGUGACGGUACCUGCAGAAAAAGCACCGGCUAACUACGUGCCAGCAGCCGCUGUAA
rnacentral:rRNA from 1 species